rnacentral:rRNA from 1 species
AUUGAACGCUGGCGGCAGGCCUAACACAUGCAAGUCGAGCGAGCGGCGGACGGGUGAGUAAUGUAUGGGGACUGCCCGAUAGAGGGGGAUAACUACUGGAAAAGGUAGCUAAUACCGCAUACUAUCGGAUAACCCAUUUUGGAUUAGCUAGUAGGGGAGGUAAUGGCUCACCUAGGCGAAGAUCCCUAGCUGGUCUGAGAGGAUGAUCAGCACCGUUGGGACUGGUACACGGCCCAGACUCCUACGGAGGCAGCAGUGGGGAAUAUUGCACAAUGGGCGAAAGCCUGAUGCAGCGACGCCGCGUGGGGGAUGAAGGCUUUCGGGUUGUAAACCUCUUUGGCUAUCGAACGGGUAGUUGGAGAAGAAGCGCCGGCUAACUACGUGCCAGCAGCCGCGGUAAUUC